rnacentral:lncRNA from 1 species
AUGUCAAAGCGAGGACGUGGUAGGUCCUCUGGUGUGAAAUUCUGGAUUUCCUUGGGUCUUCCAGUAGGAGCUGUGAUCAACUGCUGACAACACAGGAGCCAAAAACCUGUAUAUCAUCUCCGUGAAGGGGAUCAAGGGACAGCGGAACAGACUUUCUGCUGCUAGUGUGGGUGACAUGGUGAUGGCCACAGUCAAGAAGGGCAAACCAGAGCUCAGAAAAAUGGUACAUCCAGCAGCGGUCAUUAGACAACCAAAGUCAUACCGGAGAAAAGAUGGUGUGUUUCUUUAUUCCGAAGAUAAUGCAGGGGUCAUAGUGAAUAAUAAAGGCAAAAUGAAAGGUUCUGCCAUUAUAGGACCAGUAGCAAAGGAGUAUGCAGACUUGUGGCCCUGGAUUGUGUCCAAUGCUCGCAGCAUUGCAUGA